UUUAAGAGCGGUCGUGAGUUUCGUGUUCAAGGUUUAACCAUCUAUUUUAUUUGAAUCUUUUAUGAUUAGUAUUUUUAUUGAUGUUAGGUGAUAAAACAUGAAUAAUACUUUAUACGUGACUUAUUUUUUUAUACUCUUUCUCAAAUAAGACGGACACUUAAAUAUGAGACUCGGAAACUCAUAACUGCACUUACA
rfam:Oryza barthii chromosome 5, whole genome shotgun sequence.